rnacentral:rRNA from 1 species
UGGCGGACGGGUGAGUAAUACUUAUCUUACCUGCCAUUUAGUGGGGGAUAAAAUUCCGCAUAUUAUGAGUAAUCAUGAAAGGGCUUUCGGGCUCGCUAAUUGAUGGGGAUAAGUCGUAUUAGUUAGUUGGUGGGGUAAUGGCCUACCAAGACAAUGAUGCGUAGCCAGUCUGAGAGGAUGAAUGGCCACAAAGGAACUGAGACACGGUCCUUACUCCUAUUGAGGAGGCAGCAGUGGGGAAUAUUCUGCAAUGGGGGAAACCCUGACAGAGCAAUACUACGUGAAGGAGGAAGGUCUACGGAUUGUAAACUUCUUUACUUAAAUGUACUAGCCGUAAGGUUUUGCAUUUGAGCAAAAAGCGACGACUAACUAUGUGCCAGCAGCCGCGGUAAU